UGGGUGAUCUGCCCUGCACUUUGGGAUAAGCCUGGGAAACUGGGUCUAAUACCGGAUAUGACUCCUCAUCGCAUGGUGGGGGGUGGAAAGCUUUAUUGUGGUUUGGAUGGACUCGCGGCCUAUCAGCUUGUUGGUGAGGUAAUGGCUCACCAAGGCGACGAUCAGUAGCUGGUCUGAGAGGAUGACCAGCCACACUGGGACUGAGACGCCGACCCAGACCUCCG
rnacentral:rRNA from 1 species